rnacentral:rRNA from 1 species
UACAGAGGGUGCGAGCGUUAAUCGGAAUUACUGGGCGUAAAGCGCGUGUAGGCGGAUCGGAAAGUCGGGCGUGAAAUCCCCAGGCUCAACCUGGGAACUGCACCCGAAACUCCCGGUCUUGAGUGGUGGAGAGGGAAGUGGAAUUCCUGGUGUAGAGGUGAAAUUCGUAGAUAUCAGGAGGAACACCAGUGGCGAAGGCGGCUUCCUGGACACCAACUGACGCUGAGACGCGAAAGCGUGGGGAGCAAACAGG